rnacentral:misc_RNA from 1 species
AAGUCGUAACAAGGUUUCCGUAGGUGAACCUGCGGAAGGAUCAUUACUGAGGGGCUUCGGCCCCGUCAAGAUACCACCCCUUGCAUUUUGAGUACCUCUGUUUCCUCGGCGGGCCCGCCCGCCAAUGGGGACCACAACAAACCCUUCUGUAGUUGCAGUAAACGUCAAAAACAAAAUAAAAUCAAAACUUUCAACAACGGAUCUCUUGGUUCUG